rnacentral:rRNA from 1 species
UACGUAGGAGGCAAGCGUUGUCCGGAGUUACUGGGCGUAAAGCGCACGCAGGCGGUUCAGUCAGUCUGUAGGGACAGGGCACAGCUCAACUGUGUCAGGCUGACGGAAACUGCUGAACUUGAGGGCUUCAGAGGGAUGGGGAAUUCCGGGUGGAGUGGUGAAAUGCGUAGAGAUCCGGAAGAACACCAAAGGCGAAGGCACCAUCCUGGGGAGUCACUGACGCUCGGGUGCGAAAGCCAGGGGAGCGAACGGG